CUUUAAAAUGACCCUGCCAACAUUCUCCUACGUAAUUAACAUACACAUAAUCCUCUGCUUUCAACCUGUUAACUGGUUUGGCACUGCCUGGGCUGACAGUAAAUUCAUUACCGACAUGGUGCAGAUUUAUUAGCAGAGAACUAAGUGGUAUCUUUUUGCAUAGUGUUUUAGUGUAAAUAUCAGCGUUUUUGGAAAAUCUAGAAUUAUAUUGAUUUCUGCAAUUCACAACAAGAGCCUUGUCAGCCUG